rnacentral:misc_RNA from 1 species
AAGUCGUAACAAGGUUUCCGUAGGUGAACCUGCGGAAGGAUCAUUAUUGAUUGCGAAUCGUUGUCUUCAGUGCUGGCCAGCUCUCUGGCAAGUGCACGUUGGUGGCCUUUCAUCCAACCCCCUGUGCACCUUUGGCCUCUUGCUAGCUUCGGCCAGCAGAGGAUUUUUAUACCAACUCGAAUGUAAUGAAAUUAUUGUCGUGCGCAAGCACUAAUGUACAACUUUCAACAACGGAUCUCUUGGCUCUC